GACGAACGCUGGCGGCGUGCCUAACACAUGCAAGUCGAACGGGGUUACGAGAGCUUGCUCUUGUAACUUAGUGGCGAACGGGUGAGUAACGCGUGAGAAACCUGCCUCUCAGUGGGGGACAACAGUUGGAAACGACUGCUAAUACCGCAUAACACUUUAGUACCGCAUGGUACAGAAGUCAAAGCUUUAUGUGCUGAGAGAUGGUCUCGCGUCUGAUUAGCUAGAUGGCGGGGUAACGGCCCACCAUGGCGACGAUCAGUAGCCGGUCUGAGAGGAUGAACGGCCACAUUGGGACUGAGAUACGGCCCAGACUCCUACGGGAGGCAGCAGUGGGGAAUAUUGGGCAAUGGGGGAAACCCUGACCCAGCAACGCCGCGUGAAGGAAGAAGGCCUUCGGGUUGGUAAACUUCUUUUACCUAGGGACGAAGAACGUGACGGUACCUCGGAGAAAAGACAACGGCUAACUACGUAG
rnacentral:rRNA from 1 species